GGACCAAGGAGUCUAGCAUGUGCGCGAGUCAUUGGGAUAUUUAUCAAAUCCUAAAGGCAUAAUGAAAGUAAAUAUUUAUGAAUUUUUAAUUCAUUUUAAAUAAAGGGAAGAUGGGUAAUGAAUUUCAGUUACCUCGCAUUCCCGGGGCGUCGCGUACUCAUUGCGAGUUGCGGCGCACCAAGAGCGUACACGCUGGGACCC
rnacentral:rRNA from 1 species